rnacentral:tRNA from 1 species
GCGUCGAUGGCAGAGCGGCAAAUGCACAGCGCUGUAAACGCUGCGGUCUUACGACCUUCGGAGGUUCGAGUCCUCCUCGGCGCACCA